rnacentral:tRNA from 1 species
AUUUAUAUAGUUUAAUAAAACUUUAUAUUUUCAUUAUAAGAAUAAUUAAUAGUUAAUUUAUAAAUU